UUUGCCUCGCCGCGCCAGCAAGUGUUGUUCUUGUUGCAAACCCGUGCGUCCCGCAGCUCUGCCAGGAGAACCCAACGCUCGUGUCUCCGUGGAAAAGUCCGAAAAACUGGGCCCUGGCCCCGAGCGGUAGCCACCCGGCUCUCCCAAAGUUCUGCCCCACCCACACCAAACUCCCACCCUUGACGGGAGUACUCUUCGGAGUCGACCUUGGUGUGGGGCCGAGAUUUUUUUUCCCUUUUGGAGUCGUUGAAGCAUCCACCUGCCCGGCGACAUAACCUCCACCGGCCAUAACCCCUGCGCCAUAUCUAACGUACGCGCAUAGAGGGCAUAGGGAACAUGGAGUAGACUUAUAAUUUCCAAGGGACAGGGUGACGUAAUGGGGUAGGGUAAGAAUUUUAGGGAUUUCCAGAACCUUCGCACCACUGGAAAUCAUGGAAGGGUGGGUAUAGAAUCGUGUGGGUCGACUUCCAUCGCAAGACCUCACGCCCGCGAGAGUUUGGAACACGCCGACGAAAGCCCCUAGUACUUUUCGGGUACGCCCUAUGAUUGUGCCAUGUAAUGUCCGUUAUGCUCGGAAUAGGCAUAGUGUUGUUUUCGGAGCUCGCUCCCGGUAGAGU